rfam:Batrachochytrium dendrobatidis JEL423 supercont1.7 genomic scaffold, whole genome shotgun sequence.
CCGACUUUAGCUCAGUUGGUAGCAGCAACAGACUGUAGUAUAACAACUAUCUGUGGGUCCUCGGUUCGACUCCGAGAAGUCGGA